UAGGGAAUCUUCGGCAAUGGGGGGAACCCUGACCGAGCAACGCCGCGUGAGUGAAGAAGGUUUUCGGAUCGUAAAGCUCUGUUGUUAAGGAAGAACGAGUGUGAGAAUGGAAAGUUCAUGCUGUGACGGUACUUAACCAGAAAGGGACGGCUAACUACGUGCCAGCAGCCGCGGUAAUACGUAGGUCCCGAGCGUUGUCCGGAUUUAUUGGGCGUAAAGCGAGCGAAGGCGGUUAGAAAAGUCUGAAGUGAAAGGCAGUGGCUCAACCAUUGUAGGCUUUGGAAACUGUUUAACUUGAGUGCAGAAGGGGAGAGUGGAAUUCCAUGUGUAGCGGUGAAAUGCGUAGAUAUAUGGAGGAACACCGGUGGCGAAAGCGGCUCUCUGGUCUGUAACUGACGCUGAGGCUCGAAAGCGUGGGGAGCGAACAGG
rnacentral:rRNA from 1 species